rnacentral:rRNA from 1 species
ACAAUGAAGAGUUUGAUCCUGGCUCAGGAUGAACGCUAGCUACAGGCUUAACACAUGCAAGUCGAGGGGCAGCAUUUCAGUUUGCUUGCAAACUGGAGAUGGCGACCGGCGCACGGGUGAGUAACACGUAUCCAACCUGCCGAUAACUCGGGGAUAGCCUUUCGAAAGAAAGAUUAAUACCCGAUGGCAUAAUUAGACCGCAUGGUCUUAUUAUUAAAGAAUUUCGGUUAUCGAUGGGGAUGCGUUCCAUUAGGCAGUUGGUGAGGUAACGGCUCACCAAACCUUCGAUGGAUAGGGGUUCUGAGAGGAAGGUCCCCCACAUUGGAACUGAGACACGGUCCAAACUCCUACGGGAGGCAGCAGUGAGGAAUAUUGGUCAAUGGGCGCAGGCCUGAACCAGCCAAGUAGCGUGAAGGAUGACUGCCCUAUGGGUUGUAAACUUCUUUUAUAUGGGAAUAAAGUUUUCCACGUGUGGAAUUUUGUAUGUACCAUAUGAAUAAGGAUCGGCUAACUCCGUGCCAGCAGCCGCGGUAAUACGGAGGAUCCGAGCGUUAUCCGGAUUUAUUGGGUUUAAAGGGAGCGUAGGUGGACAGUUAAGUCAGUUGUGAAAGUUUGCGGCUCAACCGUAAAAUUGCAGUUGAUACUGGCUGUCUUGAGUACAGUAGAGGUGGGCGGAAUUCGUGGUGUAGCGGUGAAAUGCUUAGAUAUCACGAAGAACUCCGAUUGCGAAGGCAGCUCACUGGACUGCAACUGACACUGAUGCUCGAAAGUGUGGGUAUCAAACAGGAUUAGAUACCCUGGUAGUCCACACAGUAAACGAUGAAUACUCGCUGUUUGCGAUAUACAGUAAGCGGCCAAGCGAAAGCAUUAAGUAUUCCACCUGGGGAGUACGCCGGCAACGGUGAAACUCAAAGGAAUUGACGGGGGCCCGCACAAGCGGAGGAACAUGUGGUUUAAUUCGAUGAUACGCGAGGAACCUUACCCGGGCUUAAAUUGCAUUUGAAUANAAGGCAAAUGUGAAGGUGCUGCAUGGUUGUCGUCAGCUCGUGCCGUGAGGUGUCGGCUUAAGUGCCAUAACGAGCGCAACCCUUAUCUUUAGUUACUAACAGGUCAUGCUGAGGACUCUAGAGAGACUGCCGUCGUAAGAUGUGAGGAAGGUGGGGAUGACGUCAAAUCAGCACGGCCCUUACGUCCGGGGCUACACACGUGUUACAAUGGGGGGUACAGAAGGCAGCUACCUGGUGACAGGAUGCUAAUCCCAAAAGCCUCUCUCAGUUCGGAUCGAAGUCUGCAACCCGACUUCGUGAAGCUGGAUUCGCUAGUAAUCGCGCAUCAGCCAUGGCGCGGUGAAUACGUUCCCGGGCCUUGUACACACCGCCCGUCAAGCCAUGAAAGCCGGGGGUACCUGAAGUACGUAACCGCAAGGAGCGUCCUAGGGUAAAACUGGUAAUUGGGGCUAAGUCGUAACAAGGUAGCCGUACCGGAAGGUGCGGCUGGAACACCUCCUUU